CUUUCUCUACUUCUAUCAUAUCCCUAGUGAUCAUAAUCUUAUACUCAAAUACUACUUAAGUCAUAGUCCCUAGCAAUCAUAAUAUAAGCUCUGAUAUCAUGCUAUCAUAUUCUUAGUGAUCAUAACCUUAUACUCAAAUAUCCCUUUACUCACAAUCCCUCGAGAUCAUAACCUUAAGCUCUGAUACCAUUCUAUUAUACCUUGAAUCCAACAU
rnacentral:lncRNA from 1 species